UUCUCCAAUCUUUCCCAAAACAAAUUGUCAGACUUGAACAAAAUGCCUGUCAACAAAGAUGAGACACUUAAGAAUAUUGAAACGGUCGUCUCUCAGCUGAAAAGCCAACUGGAUGAUCUCUGUGAUCAAGGCCUUGUGAGGAUAUCAGAGAAAGUUCCCACUUUCCAUAUAAUGGUGAACAAUGAGAAGAUCACAAAGUAUUUGCCGUCUAAACCCACAACCAGAGAAGAGUUCCUUAUAU